rnacentral:rRNA from 2 species
UCCCUCAGAAUGGUUGGAAAUCAUUCGUAGAGUGCAAAGGCAUAAGGGAGCUUGACUGCGAGACCUACAAGUCGAGCAGGGACGAAAGUCGGGCUUAGUGAUCCGGUGGUUCCGCAUGGAAGGGCCAUCGCUCAACGGAUAAAAGCUACCCCGGGGAUAACAGGCUUAUCUCCCCCAAGAGUCCACAUCGACGGGGAGGUUUGGCACCUCGAUGUCGGCUCAUCGCAUCCUGGGGCUGUAGUCGGUCCCAAGGGUUGGGCUGUUCGCCCAUUAAAGCGGUACGCGAGCUGGGUUCAGAACGUCGUGAGACAGUUCGGUCCCUAUCCGUCGUGGGCGUAGGAAAUUUGAGAGGAGCUGUCCUUAGUACGAGAGGACCGGGAUGGACGCACCGCUGGUGUACCAGUUGUUCUGCCAAGGGCAUAGCUGGGUAGCUAUGUGCGGAAGGGAUAAGUGCUGAAAGCAUCUAAGCAUGAAGCCCCCCUCAAGAUGAGAUUUCCCAUAGCGUAAGCUAGUAAGAUCCCUGAAAGAUGAUCAGGUUGAUAGGUUCGAGGUGGAAGCAUGGUGACAUGUGGAGCUGACGAAUACUAAUAGAUCGAGGACUUAACCAUAUAA